UAUCUAAGAGGUAAACACUUCAGUGUUGUAGAAACAAUACAACUCAAACAAAGUUCAUAUUUUUGCUACCACUAAAAGAGAAAUCAGAUUCAGAUAUAGUUCUACUCCAUUUUUUCUUUGGUGGAAGAAAAUGGCACAAGGAUUCUUCAUUCUGAAUAGGCUAGGCAAUCUACUGAUUGCAAAUGAAAACUUUGGUUUCGACACAGAUGAUAAGGUGCCCCCCCAUAUGGAAAUUUCAACAAAAAAAGGAACUUCAAUGGUUGGUAUGGAAGGUAUAGGAAAUAAGGGAGAUAGCAGUGUAGCCACAAUUGGUUGACUAUGGUUUACUAUGGGAGGUGAAGCAACCUAACAAAUUGCAGAAUGAAGGGGUCGAUGGUUGACCAAUAUUGGAUGAAAAAUCGUCUACACUGAAGGAUACAUAUUUCAGGGGCUUAAAAGUUGUAACAAGUGAAGAUGUCAAAAGAGUCUUUCUUGCACUAGAUGUACCAGACUAUGAUGUCGUUACGAUUGAGAUUAUUUAUCUUAUCAUCUUAUAACUAUUUGCUGCAUUAUACUCGAAGGUGGAUCCAUACAUUUUUGCACUUGCAAAAGAUUUUGCCAUACUUGAAAUGUUCUCUUGGAGCAUAUAUUUGUUUGAGACCACAUUAUCUUCACUAAGAAAGGGAUUACCAAAACAAAUAAGCCACCACAGAUUGACAGAUUUUUAGUGGAUUUCUAGGUGUGACUGUAUGAGUGCAUACUUGCACUUGAAGAGAAUGUGACCACAAGAAUUAGCAAGAAAUAUCUACGAAUUAUGAAUUGGACUGCACAUAAACAUCUUUUAAGUGGAAAUGUUGGAGGACAAGGUGUUUGGAAGUAAGAAUACAACCAAAUCAAAACAUUAAGAUCUCUAAAACUCAAGCGAGCGCAAGUGAGUCUACUUCUAUGCUAUCAAAGAUACAUGUUCAAGAUUCAGACGAUGAUUUUAUAGAUCCACCGUUGCAAAAAUAGACGGGGACUGCUAGCUAUAGCUCUCCUGCUUAGCCUCAGGAUGUCUAUUAUCCUGAUUGCUAAUGUGUCGAAGAAUGUGGUCGACUAAAGCAGCAAUUGAUGGAUGAAGAAAUAACUAAGCUUCAAGUGGAGAACAAAGGGUUAAAAGAGGAGCUUUUGUUGAUGAAGCCAGAACUGUCAGACACAAAUGAUAAAGUGUGUCAUUCAAACAGUUCUUUGAAGCUCAAUGAGGUCAUUUAAAGUCAGAAUGUGUUGAAAUAUUUGCUUGAGCGACAUCAAGUCGUCUCUUAAAUCUUUUGUUGAAUCUAUGUCUGACAUUUUUAUCUUUGGUGAUUGAUGAAGUUCAGACAAAGUUGAGUGGUAAAGAUGGUUCGACGGAACAAGAGAUAAAAGCUAAUGUUAUAGUUGAAAGAAAGGGCAAUGGUCACAUGGAACCUGAGUUAAAAGGUGAUGAUGUGAUUGAAAAAAAAAAAAGAUAAAGGUCACAUGGCACCUGGGUUUUCACAUUACUUCCAUGAUGACUAUAUUCUCCAAUCUACUUCAUUUAAUCAAGGUGUUGUCUACUUAUAGAGUUCUAAAAGCUCUGAUUAUGCAAUCUUUGCUAGUAAAGAAGUGUAGAAUUAGGUUGAUAAGACUAUUGCAAACGUGUUGGAGUUUAUUGAACUUUAUAUUGAAGAUAUCAGUUUAACGAAACAUUUAGUAUUUCAUAUUAUAAAUUUAGUUUGAUUGUCAUGCAAUAAUUCAAGAACCUUUCUUUUUAUAUUUUUGAACCAAGAAGAUAUGUUUACACCUUCAUCAUUUGGACUACCUAUGAAGAAUCACAAAAGCCAUCAAAAUCUCUACAGUCACCUUUAAGGUUGAUCCACGUCAUGCCACUACUAGAUCAAAUUUACAUCUGCAAAUGUUGUGUUCCAAAUUUAUUCGAAGGAAGUCGAUAGUUCAGACCUGAGUUCGUUCCAUAAUUGGUUUGACAAAGGAUACAAGCCCUAGAACAUGUACAUUAAAUAUAGGUUACACGUGUUUUUAUGUCAUGUAUAUCCUGUCAUUAUUUUAUGUGACCAUAAUAACUUGAUCACAAUCUUAUUCAUUUGUUUGAUAUGUGCAUACAUGUGUGUAUGGGGUAAAGUUCAACGAUGCAUAUAAUGUGAUAGGUCAUCAAUUUGUAUGUGGCAAUGUCACUGUUUACCAUAAAAUUUGAUGGCAUGCGUUGAUUGAUUUUAAUUCAUCACUGAGCAGCACAGUACAAUAUUGCCAUCAUUUUUUCACAUAUGUAUUUGUAUUGGUUCACAUCACUUAUGUAUGCUCUUUGUUAUUAUAGCGCAUGGAUGCAUGCCUUCAUUGCAUAAGACAAUUUGCUAAGUUUGAUAAAGGUGUGCAGAUGAAUGCAACAACUAUAGACUGUAUAUUUGAUAUGACAGUCCAAACUUCAUAUUUUAAAUUUGUUCAAGAUCCAAACAUUGUGAAUGAGAAGGACGACCUAAUCAAAACCAUCAAUGCUUGACAUUAAUAAUCACAUCCUGUACAUAUUCAAUUCAAGCAAUAAGUUGUACAAGGAUAAUAAGGUUCGUGAAUGGGUAUUGCUGUUUGUGAAGGCUUUUACGCAUAUGUUAAAAGUGGUCGGGCUGUGGAUGGAAACUACUGAUAAUAUGGGUGACGUAUCCCAGGACCUGCAUAUUAACAUUGUCAGUGGUUUAUCUCAACAACAAAAUGGGUAAGUUUCAUUAUGAACAUUACAAGUUUUGUCAUUUUUCAUCAAUCUUUUGUAGUUACUUAUGGUUCGUCUAUUUCAAAUAUUACAGGCAUAAUUGUAGUAUUUUUGUCAUAAAGUAUGCACAAUAUUUGUUGUACAAUGAUCUUGCUAAAAUGCCAAUGUCAUUUGAUGCUAGAAAUGUCAGGCUUGAAAUUGUAUUAUUGCUAUCCAAAAAUAAACAACUGAGGCAGGUUGGAAGAUAAAAAUCAAAGUCAGAUGACUGAAUUAGUGUUGAUGGAAUUAUUUUCAUGAUAGAUUAGGUUGAUAGCUGU